rnacentral:rRNA from 1 species
AACGAACGCUGGCGGCAUGCCUAACACAUGCAAGUCGAACGAGACCUUCGGGUCUAGUGGCGCACGGGUGCGUAACGCGUGGGAAUCUGCCCUUAGGUUCGGAAUAACUCAGGGAAACUUGAGCUAAUACCGGAUAAUGACUUCGGUCCAAAGAUUUAUCGCCUGAGGAUGAGCCCGCGUCGGAUUAGCUAGUUGGUGAGGUAAUGGCUCACCAAGGCGACGAUCGUUAGCUGGUCUGAGAGGACGAUCAGCCACACUGGGACUGAGACACGGCCCAGACUCCUACGGGAGGCAGCAGUGGGGAAUAUUGGACAAUGGGGGCAACCCUGAUCCAGCCAUGCCGCGUGAGUGAUGAAGGCCUUCGGGUUGUAAAGCUCUUUUGGCGGGGACGAUGAUGACGGUACCCGCAAAAUAAGCCCCGGCUAACUUCGUGCCAGCAGCCGCGGUAAGACGAAGGGGGCUAGCGUUGUUCGGAAUUACUGGGGCGUAAAGCGCGUGUAGGCGGUUGCCCAAGUCGGGUGUGAAAGCCUUGAGCUCAACUCAAAAAAUGCACUCGGUACUGGGGUGACUAAAGGACCGGAAGAGGAUAGUGGAAUUCCCAGUGUAGGGGUGAAAUACGUAGA